rnacentral:lncRNA from 1 species
AUAAUUAAAAAAACCAUUUAAUACAGAAACAAACCACUUGAUGUGCUUAUUAUUAAUGUAAUCAUUCAUUAUAUAAGAAAAUCUUUUAUUAAUUAAUAAUUAAUUAUAAUUUUUUUUUCUUCGAUAAUUCUUAUUUUAUUUUUUAUGGAUAUUUAUGAAGUUUAUUGAUAAAAAAAUUGUACGGCUAGUUAACUCAAAUCAUUUUCAUAAUAACUUGGACGAAAAAGGAGGUGGUCUAGAG